GCCGCGGUAAUACGGAGGUGGCUAGCGUUACUCGGUAUGACUGGGUGUAAAGGGUCCGUAGGCGGCCAUAUGUGUGGUAGGUGAAAGCUUUCGACUUAACCGAAAAAUUGCCUAUCAAACUGUAUGGCUUGAGGAUGGAAGAGGAGAGCGGAACUGCCGGUGUAAGGGUGAAAUCUGUGGAUAUCGGCAGGAACGCCAGCGGAGAAGUCGGCUCUCUGGUCCAUUCCUGACGCUCAGGGACGAAAGCUAGGGGAGCGAACAGGAUUAGAUACCCUGGUAGUCCUAGCUGUAAACGAUGGGCACUAGAUGCUCGUUCUUUUGAAUGGGUGUCGUAGCUAACGCGUUAAGUGCCCCACCUGGGGACUACGGUCGCAAGACUAAAACUCAAAGGAAUUGACGGGGGCCUGCACAAGCGGUGGAACACGUGGUUUAAUUCGAUGCUACGCGAGGAACCUUACCAGGGCUUGACAUGCUGGAAUUAGCCACCCGAAAGGAUUGGCCACCUGUAACCAAUCAGGAACCAGUGCAGGUGCUGCAUGGCUGUCGUCAGCUCGUGCCGUGAGGUGUUCCCUUAAGUGGGAAA
rnacentral:rRNA from 1 species